UAUACCUAGGAUGGCUUGAGGGUGAGUAAAGCUUGGGGUAUUUUUCAUUUGAAAGUGAACUAAUCCUUUAAUUGAUUUACCUUAAACAUAUUAGGUCUUCUCAAAUUGUUUUGAUUUUCAUUCACUUGAUCUAUAAACUUUAUAAAUAUCCCUUACAAAAUUAUUUGCACAUAAACCAUCACUGACCGAACAGACAACAACAACAACAUUCAGCGUAACCAAGUAAACACUGUCUACAGAUCAAGACCAGUGUAUCAUUUGAUAAGGGUGAGCAACUUGAUCCAGCUAGAUCUACAUCACUCACAGCAGGCGAUGUCAGAGGGAUGGCAUCACUUUCUGCACUUUAAACACAAGCUUGCUCAAUGAUGAAGAGGGCGAUCCUCUGCCCGUUCUUCAGAUAAACAAUCUAGUGCUGAUCCGUUGUUUGAUGUCUUGACCUACCACUGAAUCAAGUGGUGUCAGGUUCUGGGUUUUGCAAACACAAACUCAGCAAUGACCUAAUUGUUGUGACACUCCAACAAUUAGCAACAAGAGAGCCCAUGGGAGAUGAAGAGAAGGUGCAUGGCUUUCAGCAUGGCGUCACUAGGGACAGUGAGUCAUCAUAUUGUCUGUUACACUAUAAAUUAGAAGAAUGCACCACGUAACCUUUAAUAGUGUUAAUGAAACGUAAUGGUUUUAAACACUUUUUAGGGUCAACUUGAAACUACUUAUACUCCAAUAAUGGAUGUGUGAUGUGUGACUUUCCACAAAACAAAUGACCAUGAAAUUGAUAAAUCAACAAAAGCACAGCACCAACUCCUGCCUAGUCAGCCGAAUGGAACUCUAGUAUGGGAAACUCCGUAGUGCAUAAACAUGAUUUGAGUGUAACAUUCCUUCACUUUGUGUUAAAAAUAACCUACAUUAUCAAGCCAUUGUUUUGGGACUGUGGGUGUCACAUGGGGUCAUGUUUGCAACAGCUGGCCUGAACAGCCCUCGAAAAUCCACCCCCAAACCCAUUAAUACUGCUCUCCUUCUGCCUCAGCUUGCAACCAUGUGUGAAAUGAUCUUUGAUGAUGGAGAUGAGGUAAUGCCUAGAGCAGCUCUGACAUCACUAUAGCCUCUCCCACCCAGUGCAUUUGACCAUCACUUGGACAAUGAGCUUUUUGUCUUACUCUACCUUUCAUUAAAGAGAAAAGGAUGAACGUGACACAUGUGAAUGCUUUAAAGAUCUGAUAUAGGGAUGUGUGUGUGUGUAAAAAAUGUCCCAGUCAUUUUUGUACAAAGUCAUAUAUCACACAUUAAAUGUUGAUAAAAUUUUUACUUGUUAUCCACUAACAGAUGAUAAUUAAUGUCAUUGUCAUAUGUACUCUAAGUCAUGUGUCUAAAAUCAUUUUCAAGUUUCAUUAACAGUAUUAAAAUGUAUCAUUAUUUAUGUAUUUGGUCUUGGCGGAAUAGAUCUGCUACACUGCUGCCGCAGAGCAAGUACAGGAACUUGCUACUGCCAAAUACAUACGCGAUACGCUGCUGCGAGUAAGAGACAGUGCUACUGCACAAAUAGCAUAUAUCAAUAACCCAUAGCAGAUCUAUACAGGUGGAGCUGGGGAAGGUGGAGGGUUUUAGAGGAACUCUGAACCGCGCUGCAAACUGCUAUAGUGAAUGUAACCAGCCAUUUAAAUGUGUGAGCAACAAGCUCAUUGGCUGCAGGUGUGACAUGUACCAAUCAGCUUGUGCCAGUAGUUAACGUUGUAAUUAUCAUCAGCUUGCGUUAAGACCCAUCAGCCUGCGCUAUCUAGAGUUUCACGACAGAACUCUCUCUCUCUCUCUCUCUCUCUCUAUAUAUAUAUAUGUAAACAAUAAGGUAUGAGAGGCUGUGCUGUGCUGAGUCACGACUGAAGGGCGUUGUUAGGAACGACGCGAACAGGAACUACCUUGAUUCUGAUUGGUCAAAAGCUGUGUUUUUUUCACUAUAAAACACAGCUAUGACCGCUUCACCCAACGGUUCUGUGUAUCACUACACAACACCCUUUGCAACCACUUUUAGCAACAUAAACAAUUUGUUAUUGUAAUAAUCAGCAUAUAAAGAGCCCAAUUAAAUAUGACAUCAUCUAAUGGGUAAUAUGAAUAUUUCUAAUACACAAUGAAUCAUGUUCUUGUAGGUUUACCUAAUUAAUCUGAAGUAUAAUCAGAGGCAUCCUAAAGCGCUGAUGACAACAGUUUAAUAUGGUUACAAGUGCAACAUGUCCACAGUGGUACACAAAACAUUUUGUUCUCUGUUAGUUCCUUUUAUAUUUUUACUAUCCUUUAUGUAAACACUCACAAAUGUGACUGAAACUGGAAUUCAAUUGAAUGUUCUCUCACUUCUGUUUCUUUAUUGAGAAUAUUUAUGAAAAAAACAUGUAAGCAACUUGCGUAAUCAUUUUUGCUUAAUUUGUAAUGAUUACUGCUUUCAGUGAUUUGGAUUCUUAUGACAUUCAUAUUAAGCAAUCAAUUACAAACAAGUAAUUUUCAAACUUGCAUAUGCAUAUUUUCCCUCUUCUUUUUUCUUUAGAUAUAUAUGACAUGCAAAUUGACCUUUCUGCCACAAUCAUGGAACAUGAUGCACAAAAUAACAGUAUGACCACAGUCGAUGACCACUUUUCACAUGGCAGCAAAAUGCAACCACAGUCUGGUUGUUUGUUAGCCUUUUAGACCUGCAGAUCAUUUUCUCGGGUCUGUCACUCAACACCAUUCCAUUACCUUGAAGGGUGGCAGCUGCGGCCCUGCGCCACCAACAUGGACUGUUUUCAGGCAAUUAAGGUGACAACAAUGAAAACUAAUAUGUGAAAAAUGUGGGAUGGGAGAUGGACGAGCAGUGCUCGAGACAGGUUUAUCAGAUACGGUGGAGUAUGAAGGAAGGAGGAGGGGAUAAAGUAAAGGAUGAUGUCACCAGGACACGGUAAAUUUGAGCCUCACUCUCGUCUCAUGUCAUCACGCUCACACCCACGUGGACGUUGUGUUUUGGUAACGGAUGAAGCCAUUGCAGAGUCUCACAGAAACAUACUCAUGAAUCCCUUCUCUAUCUUCUCUAUCAGGUAGUGAACUUUGGUACUAUUGGUAAUGAACUUAUUGUUCUCAGCUGUCGUGUGGACUCUAGAGCAAAGGGAAAAGUUAUUUAUUUACAGUAAAGACACUAUCUUUUGUGUCAUUGUGCUGAAGUGUCACCACAGGUGAGAUGGAAAUAAACAUGUUAGUUGUUUGACCAUUGAGCUUUGUAUCAAUUGUUCGUGUUUAUGUUAUAGAGGACUGUAUGUAUUCAGUGGCCUAACCUCGGGGUAAAAACCACAAGUAAAACACUGUACCAUGCAUAUAACACUAUACCAGGGUUCCUCAAAUUCAGCCCUUGAGGGCCACUCUCCUGCAGAGUUUAGCUCAAACCAUGAUCAAACUCACCUACCUGCAAUUCUCUAUAACUCUGAACUGAAGACCUUAGCUUGUUCAAUUUGAUUAGGGUUGGAACUAAACUCUGUAGGGCUUUGGCCCUCCAGAACUGGAUUUGAGAAACCCUGCUCUAUACCAAUAAUAAAAUAACAUUUAAAAAAAUUAUAUAAAUAAAUAUAAAAGAAUAUUUUAGAAAUAGUGCUUUCAAAUUGAUUUUGAUUAAUCACGAUUAAUUGCAUCUAACAUAAAAGUUAUAUAUAUAUAUAUACAUGUAUGGGGCUGCAUAGCCGCAGACCAGUCAGGGUGCCCAUGCUGACCCCUGUCCACUGCUGAAAGCACCAACAGUGGGCAUGUGAGCAUCAGAACUGGACCACGGAGCAAUGGAAGAAGGUGGCCUGGUCUGAUGAAUCACGUUUUUUUUUUUUUUUUUUUUUUUUUUUCCAUCACGUGCAUGGCCGGGUGCGUCGCUUACCUACACCCCAGGAUGCACUAUGGGAAGAAGGCAAGCCAGCGGAGACAGUGUGAUGCUUUGGGCAUUCCCUGGUGGCUGUGGCAGCAAAUAAUGCUGUUUUGGCAGCAAAAGGGGGACCAACACAAUAUUAGGAAGGGCGGGGGAGAGCCGUGAGGGAACGGCGCGAGGCCGGUGACGCGAGUGAUAAUGAGUGUCAGCUGCGCGUUGCACCGGUCUCGAGUCUCUCACGGAGGAGCUCCGGAAGCAUAAAAGGGGAGCGACGACAGUGAAGGACGAGAGAGGACCAGGCCUGGACUUUAAGUUAGCCUAUGUUUUAUUAUGUUUGUUAUUAUUGUUGUUUUGUUAUGUUACUUUCGUUUUGUAUUUGUUUAUUUUAAAUAUAUUAAAGUUAUGUUGAACGUU